GACGAACGCUGGCGGCGUGCUUAACACAUGCAAGUCGAACGGAAAGGCCCUGCUUUUGUGGGGUGCUCGAGUGGCGAACGGGUGAGUAACACGUGAGUAACCUGCCCUUGACUUUGGGAUAACUUCAGGAAACUGGGGCUAAUACCGGAUAGGAGCUCCUGCUGCAUGGUGGGGGUUGGAAAGUUUCGGCGGUUGGGGAUGGACUCGGGGCUUAUCAGCUUGUUGGUGGGGGAGUGGCUUACCAAGGCUUUGGCGGGUAGCCGGCCUGAGAGGGUGACCGGCCACAUUGGGACUGAGAUACGGCCCAGACUCCUACGGGAGGCAGCAGUGGGGAAUAUUGCACAAUGGGCGGAAGCCUGAUGCAGCAACGCCGCGUGCGGGAUGACGGCCUUCGGGUUGUAAACCGCUUUCGCCUGUGACGAAGCGUGAGUGACGGUAAUGGGUAAAGAAGCACCGGCUAACUACGUG
rnacentral:rRNA from 1 species